GGUAGAAAUGAAAGACAUCAUUUGUUUGCAGGGUAAAGAGAAGUUUUAAACCAUUCAGUGAAAAUGAGAUUAUUGGUACCAGUGAUUUAUGUAAUAUUCUGCAUGUCCUAUGUGGAAUCACAGGUGCCGGUGCUGACUCCAACUGUUCUGUAUGUGAACCAAGGACAAACUGCAACUUAUAAUUGUAAUGUGGGAGUUAAAAACAAUCAUGCUACAUGGUUCCUCCGUCAAACUCCUGGAAAAGCUCCUCAACUUAUUUUGUAUCAUCACCAUACAUACACAGAACCUAGAUAUGGACCAGGAAUGUCAUCCACUCGUUUUGGUUCCACUAUAAAUGCUGCAGGCACAGAAUAUCAACUUAUUGUAAAAACAACAGUCCCUCAGGAUACUGAUACUUAUUAUUGUGCUAAAUGGUAUGAUAACAUCGGGUGCCACAGUGAUAUACAGCUGGACAAAAACCACUGA